GCUCCGGUGGCCCAGUGGUAAUUUUCCCGCCUGCGGUGUGGGCGUCCUGGGUUCAAUUUCCGCCAUCAGCG